CUUCGCUAUGGCACAGCGCAGGCUCGUAGCCUGCGCCACACCUAGCGGACAUCGUUUACGGCCAAGACUACCCGGGUAUCUAAUCCGGUUCGWGACCUUGGCUUUCGUCCCUCACCGUCGGGUCCGUCCUCCCAAGGCGCUUUCGCCACCGGCGGUCCGUCCGGGAUUACGGGAUUUCACUCCUACCCCGGACGUACCCCYUGGGUCUUCCGGCCCCAAGCCAGAUGGUUUCCGCCGGACSYCCACGCGUUAAGCGCGUGGAUUUCCCRACGGACYUGUCUGGCCGGCUACGGACGCUUUAGGCCCAAUAAAAUCGGCCAUCACUCGGGCUGCCGGUAUUACCGCGGCGGCUGGCACCGGUCUUGCCCAGCCCUUUUUUCUGAACCUCCYUACRGUCCAGAAAAGCGAGGACUAUAUGCCCUCGCACUUGGRGUCCCCUUAUCGCRCUCUCGYGCAGGGUAAAGGUUUCGCGCCUGCUGCACCCCGU
rnacentral:rRNA from 1 species